rnacentral:rRNA from 1 species
UACAGAGGGUGCGAGCGUUAUUCGGAAUUACUGGGCGUAAAGCGUGCGUAGGCGGUUAUUUAAGUCGGGCGUGAAAGCCCCGGGCUCAACCUGGGAAUUGCAUUCGAGACUGAAUAGCUAGGGUACGGUAGAGGGAAGCGGAAUUUCCGGUGUAGCGGUGAAAUGCGUAGAUAUCGGAAGGAACAUCAGUGGCGAAAGCGGCUUCCUGGACCAGUACCGACGUUCAGGCACGAAAGCGUGGGGAGCAAACAGG